rnacentral:rRNA from 1 species
GAAUGCUGACAUAAGUAACGAUAAAGCGGGUGAAAAGCCCGCUCGCCGGAAGACCAAGGGUUCCUGUCCAACGUUAAUCGGGGCAGGGUGAGUCGACCCCUAAGGCGAGGCCGAAAGGCGUAGUCGAUGGGAAACAGGUUAAUAUUCCUGUACUUGGUGUUACUGCGAAGGGGGGACGGAGAAGGCUAUGUUGGCCGGGCGACGGUUGUCCCGGUUUAAGCGUGUAGGCUGGUUUUCCAGGCAAAUCCGGAAAACCAAGGCUGAGGCGUGAUGA